AUGUGUACACACGUAUCACCCGCUCUGACCUGCUCCUCUCUGUCUUCGUACUCCGCCGUUAGCCGCCGUUAGCCGCUCGGUGAGCAGCUCUCAGCGCGGGGACACGGGGACGGGAUCCGUGUCUUGUUUGUCCUCCUGCAGCAGAAAGUCUUCACAUGUGUCCUCUGAUCCACUCAUGUAGCGACACCCGCAGCUGACACACUGCGGACAUUUCACUGCUUUUCUGCGCUACUUCGUCGUCGUCGUUGUCUUCUUCUUCUUCUUCUUCUCGUUUAAUGGCGGGUAGCAACUAUCGUUAAAGGAUGUUGGUGUGACACAGACGACGACGACUGAAAACACAAACAAGCAUCUUUGUCAGUGAUUAGGGGAGGUGCUUCAAGGCAUGCCAUAAAAAAUGGCCUCAGUCGCUCCUCCUGCGUCCCACAGCCACUCCAGAGUUUUCUAGAUCGACUCCUAUGUCUGAAUGUCCGCUGCACAGGACUGUGGAAGUAAAACUGAGCAACAUUUUGAAAAAAUUAUUAAACUAGAACGAGACACAUCAGACAUACUGGUGUGGUCUAUGUGACAUAUGUGACAUGUGUGAUCUGGUCUGGUCUUUUCAUUAAAUAAAAGAUUUUUUUUAUAAA